CAGUAGCCACGGUAAUACGGAGGGAGCUAGCGUUGUUCGGAAUUACUGGGCGUAAAGCGCGCGUAGGCGGUUACUCAAGUCAGAGGUGAAAGCCCGGGGCUCAACCCCGGAACUGCCUUUGAAACUAGGUGACUAGAAUCUUGGAGAGGUCAGUGGAAUUCCGAGUGUAGAGGUGAAAUUCGUAGAUAUUCGGAAGAACACCAGUGGCGAAGGCGACUGACUGGACAAGUAUUGACACUGAGGUGCGAAAGCGUGGGGAGCAAACAGGAUUAGAUACCCCCGUAGUCCCUGUCUCUUAUAA
rnacentral:rRNA from 1 species